rnacentral:misc_RNA from 1 species
AUAGUUGAUUCCAUGGUUGCUCUGAAGGCUGGGCUGGUCUGCACUUGAACGCGCAGAUUUCUGACACGCUCCGCUCUAACUUUCUUCGGACCGCUUUGGGUUGUAUAAAAGAACGGACGUUCAGACCGGAUCGUCACAUCAACUUCCACAACUCGUGAAUUCAGAUUUGCAUUGCAAACUUCCACAUCUUAUUAUUCCAGCGCCCAGAAAUGACUGCUAACUUCAAAAUUAUGUUGCUGAUCGUUGCUAUGAUGUUCGUGGCUGUGACUGUGGCUAAGAAAGUCAAGUUGUAUUACGGCUACGGAGGUUACGGGGGUUAUGGUUACGGGGGCUAUGGCUAUGGAGGCUAUGGCUAUCCAGCUUACGGAGGGUACGGUGGUUAUUACGGAAAAGGAUAUGGAGGUUACGGCAACGGAUACGGCUAUUAUUAAGACAACUGAUAUGGGCCUUGAAUGAAAUUUACAGUUCAUCAUAUAUUCUUUUGAUGUACGUAAUUGCACCGCUCUAAGCUCAUAAACAAGCCUGUUUUCUUAUCGAUGUAAUAAUCUGUCAGUUUUCUCACUUUUCGACCAAUACACUAAUUUUUUU